CCUCUCUGUUUGCUGGUUUACCGUCUAUGUCUGUUUGUAGCAUCGUUGAGGUGGCUAUGCCUAUGUUAAGGAAAAGACAAACCGAGGACUGAUGAUUGCCAGUGCAAACCAUAUGGAAGAAAAGAUUACAAAUUCACCCAGGCCGUUGCAACAGUUGUAGUAACAGUCAGCAGCUGAUAUCUCCUCAACCCUGAAUCCAUGAGAUGGAUUCACUAGAUGGCGAUCCAGCAGCUGAACAAGAUGGAGGAAUUCUUCGGAAGAGGCACAGAGAGCAAAGAAAAGCUGGAACAGUGCAGAAGAUUCAAGAGAUGAAACAGAGGAUGAUAGAGGCAGAGAAAAAGCAGGAUCAGUGGCUCUAUUGGAGGACCAUCCUCCUUGGCAUGGGUGCUGGUGCAGCCAUCACUGCUGGACUCUUCACAUUAUGGACUCUCCUCUUACGCUGACAACCUACAAUGAUAGUAAUUAUAAGUAUGAGACUGCCACAUCACCAUUACCAUUAUGAAUGAUGGUGAAUACUAUCAUGAAGAUCCCUGCUUGCGUUAAUGAACAGUAAGACCUUGGGAUUAAUCUGUAAAACAUGUCAAUGCAUUAAGCAACAUUCGGCAGCACCACAUUUUUGGUUUCAUUGGUAUUUUGAAGAAGACAAA